rfam:Alligator mississippiensis ScZkoYb_36.1, whole genome shotgun sequence.
CAACUGGCUUUUUUCAAAGCCAGUAUAUUCCAGACAAAGAAGUUUU